GACAGAGGUGCCGAGCGUUAGGCGGAAUCACUGGGCUUAAAGCGUGUGUAGGCGGAUGGGUAAGUACCUUGUGAAAUCCCACGGCUCAACCGUGGAACUGCUCGGUAUACUGCUCGUCUUGAGCCAACUAGGGGCGACCGGAACAAACGGUGGAGCGGUGAAAUGCGUAGAUAUCGUUUGGAACGCCAAUGGUGAAAACAGGUUGCUGGGAGUGCGCUGACGCUGAGACACGAAAGCCAGGGGAGCGAACGGG
rnacentral:rRNA from 1 species